UACGUAGGGUGCAAGCGUUGUCCGGAAUUAUUGGGCGUAAAGAGCUCGUAGGCGGUUUGUCGCGUCGGCUGUGAAAACUCGGGGCUCAACCCCGAGCCUGCAGUCGAUACGGGCAGACUAGAGUGCUGUAGGGGGAGACUGGAAUUCCUGGUGUAGCGGUGAAAUGCGCAGAUAUCAGGAGGAACACCGGUGGCGAAGGCGGGUCUCUGGGCAGUAACUGACGCUGGAGGAGCGAAAGCGUGGGGAGCGAACAGG
rnacentral:rRNA from 1 species